UGUCCUCAGGUCUCAUGUCCCUCUGUCCUCAGGUCUCAGGUCUGGCUGUCCUCAGGUCUCAGGUCCUUCUGUCCUCAGGUCUUAGUUCUCAUGUCCUUCUGUCCUCAGGUCUCAGGUCCCUCUGUCCUCAGGUCUGGCUGUCCCCCCUCAGCGCUGAGACAGAUUUGUCCUCCUCUCAGUAAACCCUGAAGCUGUCUUCCUUUACUCGUCUCUCUAAUUCCUUUAUUGUCUCCCUCCUCUCCCUCUUGUCUCCCUAAACAGCCGCUCUCACCCUCUCUGUGUCUAUAAAUCACAGGCUGAUCUUCGUCUCUUUGUCAGGCGGCGUCUUCAUCGCCUCUGCCUGGCUGUGAUAACCCUCCUCAUCUCUGCAGAUUUACGCCUCUUUGAUGAGCAACAAGCCGCCCAUCACUCUCACUCUCACUCUCACACCAGCGCACGCUUCUCUCCCCCCUCCCUCGCCCUCCCUCCCUCGCUGUGAGGCGUUUAUGCUUAUUGUGUUGGUGGGUUUUUUUCCCCUCUGGAGGUCUUCACAGGCAGUCAGGAGGACAGCAGACUCAGCCUGUGGGAUUAUUUACCGUUAGAUAAAGAAGUGAGGGC